rnacentral:rRNA from 1 species
UACGAAGGGGGCUAGCGUUGUUCGGAUUUACUGGGCGUAAAGCGCACGUAGGCGGAUUGUUAAGUCAGGGGUGAAAUCCUGGAGCUCAACUCCAGAACUGCCUUUGAUACUGGCAAUCUCGAGUCCGGAAGAGGUGAGUGGAACUCCUAGUGUAGAGGUGGAAUUCGUAGAUAUUAGGAAGAACACCAGUGGCGAAGGCGGCUCACUGGUCCGGUACUGACGCUGAGGUGCGAAAGCGUGGGGAGCAAACAGGG